rnacentral:tRNA from 1 species
UCCCUGGAGGACUAGUGGUUAGGCCACAGCGCUCUCACCGCCGUGGCCAGGGCCCGGGUUCCAUUCCUGGCCAGGGAA